rnacentral:rRNA from 1 species
CCUACGGGAGGCAGCAGUAGGGAAUAUUGCUCAAUGGGGGAAACCCUGAAGCAGCAACGCCGCGUGGAGGAUGAAGGUUUUAGGAGUGUAAACUCCUUUUGUUAGAGAAGAGGAUGACGGUAUCUAACGAAUAAGCACCGGCGAACUCCGUGCCAGCAGCCGCGGUAAUACGGAGGGGGCAAGCGUUACUCGGAACCACUGGGCGUAACGAGGGCGUAGGCGGGGUAAUAAGUCAGAUGUGAAAUCCUGUCGCUUAACUACAGAACUGCAUUUGAAACUGUUACUCUGGAGUGUGGGAGAGUUAGGUGGUAUUCUUGGUGUAGGUGUCAAAUCCGU